CUGAUCUCAGUUAUAGAAGCAAAUUUUUGAAUCAAAUUAUAAAAAAUAUAUAUUCUUGAUUAAUUUGACAUCAGAUUGAUUAUCUUAUCAAGGUAUUGGAUGGAACGCGGGGACUUUGCUCAAACUCUGCUACAUGAAUCUGCUGAAGGGAGCUCCACGCGCAAUCGCAAAGGACUGGAUCAAAGAGACUCAGAUCAUGCUGGAAACACUGCAGGCCGCCAACGUGUUACACAUGCUUCGGCAUCCGGUCUAGUCUAUUCAUGAGUUCCUUCUGUCAAACUUAAAUUUAGGCAGUUUAUUUAUCAAUUCUUCUGUAAAUAAUUACAAAGUCACAGUCUAUUUGAUCUUCUCAUGCAUUCAAACUUUCGGACUUGAUCAAAUUUCUCCACAAAACUAUUUUAUUAGGAACCAGUAAAUUAUUGUGCAUUCCGUCAUAGAAACCACAACUUGUUGAUUUUUUGUUGGCAAUAAAGUAUUACUAACAUUCAAAAUUUUA